UAUGCAGCAGCCCAAGCCAGGAAAUGGAACCCAGCAAGCCACACAGCGGGCCAGCAAGGAUACUACCACCACCACAACCACCACCUGUACACUGUCUGUCACCUGACUCUUGGAGAAGUUGAAUUAAGUGGAGAUGAGUUGGCUGAUUGAGCAGAGGAGGGAGUAUUGUGGGAGUUUCAACACGGGAGAAUGCAAGAUCAGUCAGUGAAGAAACCGGAGCUGAUGUCUGUGAUGGAAGGCUGCAGAAGACCAUGCCAGGCACCACUUUGGCAGGGAUGUGGAUGGUCAGUGUUUUAAUGGGUGUGUGGUGGGCAUAUUGUCACAUUUUUAUGUCUUUAUCAAAUUUGAGCAUUCUGUUACAUUGUUCUCUCUCUCUCUCUCUCUCUCUCUCUCUCUCUCUCUCUCUCUCUCUCUCUCUCUCUCUCUCUCUCUCUCUCUCUCUCUCUCUCUCUC